GAUGAACGCUGGCGGCGUGCCUAAUACAUGCAAGUCGAGCGAACGGACGAGAAGCUUGCUUCUCUGAUGUUAGCGGCGGACGGGUGAGUAACACGUGGAUAACCUACCUAUAAGACUGGGAUAACUUCGGGAAACCGUAGCUAAUACCGGAUAAUAUUUUGAACCGCAUGGUUCAAAAGUGAAAGACGGUCUUGCUGUCACUUAUAGAUGGAUCCGCGCUGCAUUAGCUAGUUGGUAAGGUAACGGCUUACCAAGGCAACGAUGCAUAGCCGCCCUGGGAGGGGGACCGGCCACACUGGAACUGGACCACGGCCCAGCCUCCUACGGGAGGCAGCAGUAGGGAAUCUUCCGCAAUGGGCGAAAGCCUGACGGAGCAACGCCGCGUGGGCGAUGAAGGUCUUCGGAUCGUAAAACUCUGUUAUUAGGGAAGAACAUAUGUGGAAGUAACUGUGCACAUCUUGACGGUACCUAAUCAGAAAGCCACGGCUAACUACGUG
rnacentral:rRNA from 1 species